AUUGAACGCUGGCGGAAUGCUUUACACAUGCAAGUCGAGCGGCAGCACGGGGGCAACCCUGGUGGCGAGCGGCGAACGGGUGAGUAACACAUCGGAACAUGCCCAGUCGUGGGGGAUAACACUUCGAAAGAAGUGCUAAUACCGCAUACGUCCUGAGGGAGAAAGCGGGGGAUCGCAAGACCUCCCGCGUUUGGAUUGGCCGAUGUCAGAUUAGCUAGUUGGUGGGGUAAAGGCCUACCAAGGCAACGAUCUGUAGCUGGUCUGAGAGGAUGAUCAGCCACACUGGGACUGAGACACGGCCCAGACUCCUACGGGAGGCAGCAGUGGGGAAUUUUGGACAAUGGGGGCAACCCUGAUCCAGCCAUUCCGCGUGAGUGAAGAAGGCCUUCGGGUUGUAAAGCUCUUUCGGCAGGAACGAAACGGUGAGCUCUAACAUAGCUUGCUAAUGACGGUACCUGAAGAAGAAGCACCGGCUAACUACGUG
rnacentral:rRNA from 1 species